GACGUAGGGGGCCAGCGUUGUUCGGAAUUACUGGGUGUAAAGGGUUCGUAGGCGGUGCGGCAAGUCGGGAGUGAAAUCUCUGGGCUUAACCCAGAGGCUGCUUCCGAAACUGCUGUGCUUGAGUGUGGGAGAGGCGCGUGGAAUUGCAGGUGUAGCGGUGAAAUGCGUAGAGAUGUGGAGGAACACCAGUGGCGAAGGCGACUUACUGGACACAUAUUGACGCUGAGGUGCGAAAGCGUGGGGAGCAAACAGG
rnacentral:rRNA from 1 species